rnacentral:lncRNA from 1 species
AUUUCUACAGUAAUCAGAUUCCAUCCAAGUUUCUACGGCGGUCGACCACCUUUUGGAUUCCAUUCGAGCUCCUACGAGAAUCAGAUUUCAGCCGAACUACUACAAACGGUCUACUCCGAUCUUCUACUACGAGCGGUCUACUCCGAAUUUUUACUACGAGCGGUCUACUCCGGAUCUCUACUGUAAGCGAAUUUCAUCCGAGCUUCUACUGUAAACAAAUUUCUUCCGAACUUCUAUUACAGGCAGACUUUAGUCGAGCUCCUAAAGUCGACGGAUCCCAGACGAGCUUCUAUAACGGGAUAGGCUCCACCGGCUAGAUCACUGCUCCGAGCUCCC